AGUGAAAACUUGACUCUCAUAUUGACUCCCCAGAUGGACACACAGGUGAUUGAGGUUAUGGUCUCAUCACCACGAGGUAUUGUGUCCAUCUCCACUGGGGAUCGACCGGAUCAGGUGUUGAUGUGGGCGAGAGGGUCUGUUUGUGUGUUUCCACAGGACCAGACGGAACCUCUUUGGGUGCCGGAGAGAUUGGUGAGACGCUGCAAGAAUGAGGCUCCUGAUCCAGUUGCCCCUGUGGAUGUGGUGGAUGAUCCCACAAGCACAAAGGAUGGAGCCGAGAUGAGAGAUCCUUUUGGUAUUCCAGAAGCCGAUACCAGCUCGACAUGA
rnacentral:lncRNA from 1 species